rnacentral:rRNA from 1 species
UACGAAGGGGGCUAGCGUUGUUCGGAAUCACUGGGCGUAAAGCGCAUGUAGGCGGAUUUGUCAGUCAGGGGUGAAAUCCCGGGGCUCAACCUCGGAACUACCUUUGAUACAGCAAAUCUCGAGUCCGGAAGAGGUGGGUGGAAUUCCUAGUGUAGAGGUGAAAUUCGUAGAUAUUAGGAAGAACACCAGUGGCGAAGGCGGCCCACUGGUCCGGUACUGACGCUGAGGUGCGAAAGCGUGGGGAGCAAACAGG